rnacentral:misc_RNA from 1 species
UUAAGUUCAGCGGGUAUCCCUACCUGAUCCGAGGUCAACCAUAGAAAAUUGGGGGUUGCUGGCCAGCGUCCACCGGAGACUCAGAAGCGAGAUAGAUUUACUACGCGUAGAGCUCGAUGGCACCGCCACUAGUUUUAAGGCCAGCCGUUGCCGGCAGGGCCCAAGACAAGCAGAGCUUGAGGGUUGAAAUGACGCUCGAA